UCGCUAGAGAUAGCUUAGUGCCUUCGGGAACUCUGAGACAGGUGCUGCAUGGCUGUCGUCAGCUCGUGUUGUGAAAUGUUGGGUUAAGUCCCGCAACGAGCGCAACCCUUAUCCUUAUUUGCCAGCACGUAAUGGUGGGAACUCUAGGGAGACUGCCGGUGAUAAACCGGAGGAAGGUGGGGACGACGUCAAGUCAUCAUGGCCCUUACGAGUAGGGCUACACACGUGCUACAAUGGUCGGUACAGAGGGUUGCAAAGCCGCGAGGUGGAGCUAAUCUCACAAAGCCGAUCGUAGUCCGGAUUGGAGUCUGCAACUCGACUCCAUGAAGUCGGAAUCGCUAGUAAUCGUGGAUCAGAAUGCCACGGUGAAUACGUUCCCGGGUCUUGUACACACCGA
rnacentral:rRNA from 1 species